AAUUUUAAUAAAAGAGAAAUUAUUUGCAGAGUAAUGAAGGACCCCGCAAAGAAAUAAAAAUGUGCUUGCUACUUGUAGAAAAUUCUUAGUCUCAGACGAGCAUUAACUUCUCAGUGCCUUCCUCGGACCGUUGGCUCCCCAAUCCCAACUACUAUAAAUAAUAUACGUUCAAGAGAACACUAAUUUAUCAUCCAUUCAUCCUUUCCAUCUUCAAUUAAUGCUCGUUUAUUGAUAUUAAUUUCCUCUUACUUCCUUUAUUUUUGGCAUAACGAAAAUGGGAUUGGGCUCUAAGAUUUUCCUUCUUUUAGGUCUUGUAAUCACUAUUGUUGUUCUUCUUACUUCUACGAAGGUGGCAGCUGCUAGAAACAUGGCUGAGGCUUCCACUGCAACACGAAAAGGUGAGCGUCUUGGUUUCUGCAUUAAUUUGGGUCAUCUUAUAUAUAACAUAACAAUCAAAUUAAUUUCUUCCAGCAAAGCCAAUUUAUAAGUUGUGUUGGUUGUUUUAUGGUGGUGACCGAUGGCUUACAAAACUGUCGUACUACGUAAUAUUUAUCGUGAAUAAUAUUGAAGAAGUGAAUUAAUUUAAAAAAAAUUUUAAAAAAUAAAAAUUUUUGGGUAGUAUAUUUAUUUUUUUAAUCUUUUAGCUCAUUAAUUAUUAUUCAAUAUAAUAUAUUUUAUCUUGUAGUACAAUAAUUUUUUUAUCUUUUAUUUUGCCUGUUAAAUUAUUAAAGAAAGAAAUUCCUUUAUUAUACAAAUAUAUGCCACUUGACAUCAUUAUUCAUCAUAAUGUCAACAAUACCGCCUAUUAUAUAUAUAUAUAUAUAUAGAUAUAGAUAUUACAUCAUUGUAUGGUAAUUAUUAUGCAUUUUCUUCUUUUUACUUUAAAAAUAAGGGAUUCGGAUAACCAUAACUCUAGAACACUUUUACCAUCGCCAACAGCCUCAGCAAAUGACUUAGAAGAAUGAGUAGAAGUAAAACAGGUGGUUUACUAGACGCAUCGGCCAUGAAAAUCAAAGGAAAACUGAUUACCCUAGAAAUUAAUGUCGGAAGAAGACAAGAGUAUAAAUGAACAUAAAGCUCUCGAACUAAUAUGAUUGUUUUUAUUUUUUCCCUUAAACUAGGGAUAUAUAUUCAUUACACCUAGCAUAUUAUGCUUUAUGUUUUCCUUUUAAUAGAAUUUUCUCUUUGCAUUGAGGUUGAAUUUUUUUUUCAAAAAAAAAAAGAUAUGACAUGUUGCUACACAUAUACGUGCAACUGAGGCAGCUACAGAAGCACCGAAGAUGCCCAAUAAAGCUCGUACAUAUAGUGGAAUUUUUCCUGGGCCGUGCAGUGCAGCUGGUGGUUGCCCUUGAGUAGAGGUUGCUGCAAAGACUAAAUUGAUUCACCAUACACGUGUGUGUAUCCUAAUAGAAGGUUCUUAAAUUUGUGUUGUAAGAGAUUUUAUCUUAUGCAUGCAUCAUAUGAAUAAUGAAUAGAUAUGUUGUAUGAGGUUUAAUUAAAGAAGAAAGAACUAGCAAGAAAAAAUAAAAUAGUUUAAAGUUGAUUGGUAUAAGAAACAAAGGUUUAUGAGUAAUGAAGUUUAAUAAAUAAGUCUUAAUUAAUAAAAUUAGAGUUUUGUGCCCCUUUAUAUAAUAAUCUUAAAUAUCACGAAUUUAAUAAAAUAAGA
rnacentral:lncRNA from 1 species